rnacentral:rRNA from 1 species
AGCCUGAUGCAGCCAUGCCGCGUGUGUGAAGAAGGCCUUCGGGUUGUAAAGCACUUUCAGCGAGGAGGAAAGGUUAGUGGUUAAUACCCGCUAGCUGUGACGUUACUCGCAGAAGAAGCACCGGCUAACUCCGUGCCAGCAGCCGCGGUAAUACGGAGGGUGCGAGCGUUAAUCGGAAUUACUGGGCGUAAAGCGCAUGCAGGCGGCCAAGUCAGUCAGAUGUGAAAGCCCCGGGCUUAACCUGGGAAUUGCAUUUGAUACUGCUUGGCUAGAGUCCUUGAGAGGGGGGUAGAAUUUCAGGUGUAGCGGUGAAAUGCGUAGAGAUCUGAAGGAAUACCAGUGGCGAAGGCGGCCCCCUGGCAAGAGACUGACGCUCAGAUGCGAAAGCGUGGGGAGCAAACAGGAUUAGAUACCCUGGUAGUCCACGCCGUAAACGAUGUCUAUUAGGAGUCUGUGCCCUUGAGGCGUGGGUUCCAAAGCUAACGCAUUAAAUAGACCGCCUGG